CCCCCAGUGCCGCUCAUGGGCACAGCUGUGAAAUCCAAGCUUUUCUGAAGAACCCACUCCUGCCCGUGCUUUCUGCCAUUCCAUGCCAAAGGAAUGCCAAUGAAGCCCAUUUACAAUUGUUUUGCUUGACAUAUGGGUCCCAGAUACGGACAAAUUGCCAAAAGAAGUCCCUUUCUGUUGGGUGUGGGUCUACGCUGUUGAGCUUGGCUCUACAGGAGGGAAAGGACAAAAGGACAGCCAAAGAGAGGAGAAAAGCUGGGCUGGGAGGGAGAGGCAGAGGAAGAUUUUGCGUGCGCCCGGGAAGGAAACAAUGGGACAAGGGGAAGGAAUUAAAAGAACCACAUCCUUCUCUGCAUCACACCCCUGCAGUUACUCAUGCUGGACCAACCCGUAGUGCCUAACAUCGCUCCCCUGUGAGUGCUGUGGUGAGCUCUGUCCUGUCUGAUGUGCCCAGGCACCACGAGGGCAGCAGCACUCAUGGCACAGCAGAUCAAGCCUCUCUCCUGCACAAUGACAUUCUGACGUGUCCCUAUUCUCAUUAGCCUAUCCCAAGUGUGUGCGCCUAAUCCAGCCCCACAAUCUGGAACAUAGGCCAAAGCAUGUUCCUCCCUCCCCUCCACCUCUGACCCCGUGGCCAAGCCAGCCCUGACCCCACAGACGAGCUCCCCAAGGCUCUGGGCAGACCUUCCAGCUGGGAUGUUCUCACCCACUGCACUGCCCUGCAGCUCCUCUUAGGGAAGAGGUACACAAGGAAGAGACAAAGACAAGGUGGUCUUUUCUUGUACCCUCUUAUUGCCCUCUCCUCUCAGGCCUGCCUGCUCUUUAAAGCUCCUUUGGACCUGCUCUAACAGCUGUGUGUCUCCUGAAGCACAUCACUCAGCACAGAUCUCCUGCACACUGAGCCAUUGGCUGCAGCUCCCUGGACGCAGCCAUCCACUCAAUUCCUUUUCUGCAAAACAGUCCAUUCAAACCCAUGUCUCCAAUACAGAGACAAGGACAUUAUGUGGGCCAUGUCUAAAGCCCUACAGAAGUUCAGGAAGGUGACAUGAACUGCUGCUCCCCUUUUUGGAGGUAGAACUAUGCAUGCUUCCAACUCCAGCUAUUCUAUGAUUCUAUUCCCAAUUUUCCUGCCUCCAGAGGCUGCAGAGUCUUAUUCCUCCCUCACAGCACCCACAAAAAGCACUGGAUUGACAUUUUAGGAUAAGCUUAAGUCAAGCUGAAGCCACCAUCCUCUCAGCUCUCAAAGUCCUACAGCUCUGAGGUCACACCUUAAUAAAUAGCACUGCUACUUCGAGAGCUGAAAACAGGACCAGUACGAGGGGACAGGUUACACACUUGGAAGCAUGCAGAGUCCUUCAGGAUUUAUUUGUUCACUCCAGAGAGAAAGUGAGUCAUGAGAAACCUUAAGGUGGAGCGCUCAAAACAAGGAGUGUAUAAAUGAUUAGGAAGGGAAGGUCAGCACCAGUCCCUCAAGUCAGAGCAUGUCCCACUGUCGAUGGUGCAUAAAUAACACCAGCUGGAUGCUUGUGGCUGUAGGAGAACGACUAUUGCAAUUCUAGUCCCUUACAUGACUCUGGCUGUUAUCAUCAGUGUAGCUGAUCUCAGUUUUUUUAUAGAAAUAAAGUGGCUGAUAAAUGGAACUCAACAGAUCUGCUUUCAAGUCAGAACUGCAUGCUUGACAAAAGCUAAGAUUAAAAAAUAAAAUAAAAUAAAAUAAAAUAAAAUAAAAUAAAAUACAAGCUUUUACUGCACGGAGAUUCAAACACAGCAAUGGGAGAUGGACCUGAGUUCCACUUGUUCUCGUGCAGCAACACAAUUAAUCACCUUGUCAGAUAAAAUCCGAUUGCAAAACCUGUAUUAGCACACCAAUGCAAAUGAAUGAGAAAACAUUCUCUGUUUUCUUCAGACCACAGGUUGAAUUCAGAGCGUUUGCAGAGAAGAAAAUGAUCAGUCAGCUUCUCUCCAGUGCACAGCAAAUGCUGAUAUGGGCACGCUGGAAUGAAGGAAUGACAUGCAGUCUGUCUCUGUCUUUUCUUCUUUGGGAGCUAUUACAGAGGGCUGCCCUUCUCAAAGCGUUUGCCAGUGAAAUUAAGACUGCAUCCAUCCCGUGUAACAAAAGAAUGAAACGACACAGUAAAAGCUACAAACUCAUCAGAGGUUUGGCAGUCACUUCAGAUCACAGAAAAAAUGUCUUGAUUCACAUACACUUAAAUGAAUAAAUAACCAAAUUAACUACUUAAGCAGUGCUAUCAUUCUUUGUCAGUGUGAUCCUCAGGCUUAUGCAAAGUGUGUGAAUGCUCUCUAUGCAGCGCAGACAAGCAUUUCAGAGGGAAGAUGCAUUACUCAGGUUUCUUUGCAAUGAACUGUACCGAAAAAGGAUGUUAAGCCUGUAAGCUCAGAAUUGCUUUGUCUUCAUCAUGCAAGCACAUUGCUGAGACAUGGCUGGCUGGCACAAGCUUAUUCUGAGAAAGUCAUAACAAAAAAACAUGUAUUUAUUCCUUUUAAAAGAAAUGAGGAAUAACCCUGAAAGCUGACCCAGCUCUUUCCUUCUUUCCCCUUUGUUAUUUUCCAGUAUCUCUGGGCCUGAGUCAAAACCACAGCUGUCCAUCUAGCUUUCCCACCGACUUCUGUGGGGCUGGGAUGGGGCCUGCAUGUUAUCUGGCCUCAGUGCUGUCCAGAGUUUGUCAUUUAUAUCAUAGGCUCCCAAAAAGACAGAGCAGCAGACCCCAGACAAUGUGAGGUAAGAAUAAGAUUAAGGCUGCCUGGCACAGGUAAUUGUUUUAACACAAGUGGUGGUGAGACAUGGCUUUAAAAUUCAAAGGAGUGAUGCCUUAGCAUGAUAUCCUGUGUUUGAAGAGCACCAAGCACAAUAGAUAUGGAGGCUUUGGCCAGGGAGAUUUAAUAAUAAUAUGAAGAGGAAACAGAAUUGUGACUGAAUUUGAUGUCUGACCACAGUCCCCUCAACUUUGCUAAUAUACAUUACUGCUCUGUUUGUUUGUUUUUUUCUGAGAAAAUAGGGACAUACUUGGGAGGAAUGUCCCUCCUUUCUACUUGGACAUGCAGUCAUUUGAGGUGUUAUCUAUCAGGGGUUUAGGAACAAAUUAUGUGUCAUCCAGGAUGGCACAGAGAGCAUCACCGUCAUUCCUGAGCUUGCUAGUAGAGCCUCAGCAAACUAAUGCUAUGCAUCUAUGUCCUGGACCAGGACACAUCAUUGGUCUUUGCAGACCAACAGCCUCCUGUUCUCCUGUCCCCUGUGUUCCCUUCUAACCUGUAAAAAGUAUGUGAAGUGCAAGAGAGAAAAAGUCAACAUUUGUUCAGUACGACCUUGUACACAGGAUGGAAGAGCACACAGCACCCAGAGUACAUCAAAACACAGCUCUCCUUACAUAGAGUGGGUUUUGACUAAAGAAUAAAACCAGGAAGGAAAUGGUUAAAAUCAGAGGGAAAAGGCACAGUUUAAUAACCACAAUAAACAGCUACUGACCCUGCAGUAAUGCAGUGGUUUCCAUAAACCCAAGCACUUUGCAGAGGUUGUGGGCCCCAUCCACAGCUAUCUUCUUGAGCACGCAAGCACAAGGGGCGUUCACCUAUGAGGAAAACAUUUUAUCCUUUAUUCACACUAGGAAGAAAAUUUCUUCUGCUGGCAAUAGACCCCACCAAACACCUGAAGCCUCACCUCAACCACAGCAUGCAGGCCUGCAGUCAUGGAGGAGAACAGAAUGCUCCCACAGCUGGGCAUCCCACUCCUCCACGUAUUAUGGGGAUCACCCUCCCACUUUGCAGAAUUCUCCGCUGUUCCUGAGGGGCUGAAUUUCCAAAAAUUAACAUUUUUCAGGCUGGUCCAUUAUUAUGGGUGAUAAUUUUCAUCAUCAUUUUUAAAGGGAUGGUUCAGUAGCCCCGUUAAGAAACUGAAUGCCCGUUGUUUUUGCUGUUUGGAUGAGACAGGCUGUAACCAUGGGCUUUAAAAAUAAAUAACUUGUUAAUACCAUGCUGGCUUUAAAUAGAGGUUCUGGCCCAUGCACCUUCCCUUCGGGAGUUUGAUUUCUCAGAUCUGAGCUCCAUCAUUAGGCAGCACUGCAAAGUGUGCCAUGUUUUAUCUUCACACAAACCCUUGCACGAUUUUUCUGGAGAGCAGGCAAAGGUGUAACAAAACUUGAGCUGUACAGACUGAGGUUCUGAGAAACAAAGCCACCAAAAGUGUGGCUCCAUGUGGGAAACACUGUUGUCUCAGUUGGAUGUGAGCAUCACCACAGGUAGGAUGAUGAACCUGAGGGCUCAGCUCCCUCUUGGGACAGCAGAAUAAACACAUUGCAUGAGUUUUCAUUUCAAAGAGCAAUAAACCUUUUUCCAGUCAACCCCAGCGCACACCUAACAACUUAUCCUGCAAACUGAUAAUUAAUCUGCUAUGUUAUCGUCAUAACCUUCCUGUUUUGGCUGUUUUCUCUUCUGUUUUGUAAACUCAGAUCUGCUAAAUAAUGCAAUUGGAUUUCUCCUCUCCAAUCGCUGUCAUUCUGUCCUACAACACUCAAUGCCACUUAAUAAAGUGACAAGAAACAA